rnacentral:lncRNA from 1 species
UUCUAGUCCCUUUGUGUCCCUUCUCUUUGUUUCCAGUCCCCAUCUUCCUUACCUUGAAGUUGUUACAGCUUAGAUAAGCCACUGCCUAGACUACUUCUCUUUCCCCACAGAGAAAACAAAUGCUAAGGCCAGCAGAGCAGUCCCAGCUGCUCACAGCAUGCUCCGAAGCUGGGGACACUGGAGAGACUGGGGGAUGGCACGUGCCCCGUGCCAUUAAAAGCUCAUUUCCACAGGUGACUGGGAGCUUUUGGCCAUCUUGUUACUCCUGUUUCAGCUUUGUCUCUAGCUUUAGGAUUGUUUUUUCUUUCCAUUCAAAGGUGUUGCCCUUCUCUCCAGUUAAACUCUAGGUGGGCAGGAGACCCCAGAGCCAGCCCAUGUAAGACCAGUGGAUGAGAAAGAGCUUUGAGGCCAAAUGCUCUCCCUAAGCCAGGGAAGAGAGCAGCUUUGGGAACAAAGCCAUUGGGUCAUCUUGGGCCUUUUUUUUUAGUUGUUUGACCAACGUCUUCCUGUCCUGAUGAGACCACCUGGGCUAAAAGAACAAGGAGGUGGGGAAGAAAUGAACUUUUUAAUCAAAUUGUAAUAUAUUAGAUUUUUAUUGUUACUUUUUCAAUUACAGGAUCUUAUGGAACAUAAGCAAUAUGUGGCCCAGGCAGGCCUGGGCUGGCUAAAUCGUCUGUCUUAGAAACCAACUGUGGUGGUUUGAAUAGAAACUGGGAGUGCCGCUAUUGGAAGUGUGGCCUUGUUGGAGGAAGUACGUCACAGACUUUGGACUUUGAGGUUUCAGAAGCUCAAGCCAGGCCCCGUGACUCUCUCUUCCUGCUGCCUGCUGUUCAGGAUGUCGAACCCUUGGCUCCUUCUCUGGCACCACGUCUGCCUGUGCAUCGCUAUGUUUCCCGAGAUAGUCAACUAAACCUUUGAACUGUAAGCCAACUUAGUGGUUUCCUUUACAAGAGUUGCAUUGCUCAUGGUGUCUCUUUACGGCCAUAAGACCCUAACAAAGACACCAGCCAACAAACAAAACUAAAGUGGCUGAAGACCCUGGAGGCUGCUCUUUGUCUGUGAGCUUGUUCAGUGAGUGCCAUCUCUAUUUUCCUUUUGCUUCCGUGUCCGUAUUUGGUGGGGAUGAAACCUUUCAGAAUUGUAGCCUUACAGCUCGGCAUGCAGCAGGUAGUACGCUGGCACUGGCCAGAGGUUCCAUACUCUUGUGUUUGUCAGCUGCUUCGUUAGCAGGGCUUCUUGAGCAUCCAGAUUACAAAGUGCAUGCAGACUGCUGUUCCUAACAGAAACGUGUUCAUUAUCCCGUCUUUCCAAAUGGAAAUUGAUGUUAAUUGUGAGAUAUUGACUCACAUAGUUUAUGCGUUGCGCGGAACCCUCGACGUUGACUUCAUGAAAGGGAGAGCAGUUCUGUGAACACAUGAUUGCAUUUUUUUUUUAUUGCAUUUAUCUAUUAUUUUUUUUGAAACAGACUCUCAUGUAUUCCAGACUGUUUUUGAACCUAAGAUGUAACCAUGGAUGACCUCAAACUUCUUAUCUUCCUGUCUCAAACUCUUGAGCUCUGGGAUUAUAGGUAUUCAUCUUUUUGUCCCGCUUUAUGCGGGGCUGGAGAUAUGAUGUGGGCCUUUGUAUGUGUUAGACAAACAUUCUACCAACUAAGCAACACCCCCAGCUGUUACUGUCUUUUUUAAAUUAAUAUUUUUUAUGUGCUAAGAUUAAAGCUAGACUUUUACAUAUGCUAAUUUCUCUGAGAUGUAGCUAUGUUUCCCAUCCCAUAAUUGUUUUUAAUUCCAUAGUAUCAGCUAAGUUUUUUUUUUUAAAACAAAAGCUUUUAAAAGGAAAUUUACAAUGAUGAUUGGUUUAAAUGCGAAGCUGCAUCAAUAUUGUGACGAGAUCAAUAAUAGGAUGUGAGUGGUUGCUGGCAUAUUGAUCACAUGUGUGAACAGUGAGUGAUUGCUGGCAUACUGAUCAGAUAUGUGAGCAGGCUUUGGACUGAGUACCAGCUCCAAAGGAAAGUGGGGUAAACGCUUACUCUGAGUCUAGCCAGCCUCCAGCCUCUGGUCUUGAACCUAGCAUUUACACUACACCUUAGCUUCCAGCAUACGGUCUCAAACCUAGUCUCUAGCCUUUAGCUCCAACUUUAGUCCAGAGGGUCCCAAACUGAUUCUCGCUUAAAAUAGAAAUAAAACCCAACGCCCCAUUCCCAGUCUCAAGGCUUUAGUCUUCAAUUCCAGAUUCUAACUUGAACUCUAGCCACCAGCCACAGCCCUAACCUCUCGCCUCUAACCUCCAACUUCACCUCCAGUGUUGAGGUCUAGCCUUAACCCUAGCUGCACCUUCCAGCUCCGACCUCAGCCUCAGUCCAUUUCUGUAGUUGUCCACUGGGCCACAUCUGCUCUCUGUAGAAGGUUAAUACAGGGCAUGAACAUCUGACACCAGUGCUCUUACUUUCUUUGUUUCUAGAUAACAAAGAGAGCUCUCAUCUUCAGUGCUGAGAGCAGACACCUCUCAAAUUGCACUUAGAGGUGCAGAAAGAUCGCAGGUCUUUGUUGAUGUUGAGAAGGCUUAGGGUGAUGGCUGGCCUUCAUUCUUCCCUCUUCUCUGCCCUACUGUGAGUGUCCAUAGAUGACAGGAAGAGAAUAAGCCCUGCACAGGGGACACAGGGGACUUCUCAUGGCCGGUUCCUAGUCAGCCACAUUUUUAAAAAAAAAAAAAAAAGAAAGAAUCUUGUGUCGUCCAGCCUUGCUUCAAACUAGUCAAUGAUGGACGUGAACUCCCCACUCUUCUGUCUGCUGGGAUUGCAAGCAUGAGCCACUUAGCACCAGCCACUAACUCCAUAUGUGUAUGGUGCGUGUGCACGUGGCCGUGGGCGUGAGUACAGGCAGGCUCAUGCCAUAGCACAUGAGUGGAAGUCAGGAGACCACUUUAGAGGUCAGUCAUUGCCUUCCAGCCUGUCUGACGCACAAGCCUUUGCUUUCUCUCCUGCAUUAGCCCGGCUAGCUGUCUCCCGAGCUUCUGCACAUUCUCCUUUGUCUGCCUCCUCUAAUUCUCCUGUGCCUGCCUCUUCUAAUUCUCCUGUGUCUGCCUCCUCUAAUUCUCCUGUGUCUACCUCCUCUAAUUCUCCUGUGUCUGCCUCCUCUAAUUCUCCUGUGUCUGCCUCCUCUAAAUCCAUGGGAGUGUUGGGACGAUGGCUGAACAGCCCUGCAUCUGGUGUCAUGUGGGUUCUGGCGAUCUCUCCAUUUGUGCUGAGCCUUUGACUCAUUAGCGCCUCCUCUCCUUCCACUGACUCUCUUCAUCGAAAAAAAAUCAAUUCCGUGUGGACCUGUGAUGAUUUAAAACCAUGUCCCUAUUUCUUUCAGUCAUGAAUGUGAACCAGGCAUAAUGACAAUCAAAUGCUUUAGACCGGGAGACGGCAUGACGUCAGACGUGGGUUGGAAAAGGCUGCCCGUUCUUCUGUGCGAAUCACUCACCUGUGGCGUCUUGAAUCACUGAGAAAAGUUUGAUGACCCUAGACUGUCAUCUCAUAAGGAAGCCCAACCUACAACCACAUGUAGGUCACUGGCUGACAGCCCCCAGAAGUCUCAGCUGGCACCAACACCAGCCACUAGAUGACUCUGUCCUCCAGUGAGGGCCUCAGGCAUCGUUCAGCAAUGUCAGAGUAUAAUAUCCUCACUGGGCUGUUGGGAGGAAGACAUAAAAUAACGCACAAAGAAGGCCUUUGACAAGGUUGCAUAAAGGUGGUUAUUAUUUUUGUGGGUCUUUUUUUUUUUUCACCGUCGUGUCCGGCCAUAUACUCAUUCAUAUAAGGGAAAUGUAGAAACACAGAGGAAAAAAGAAAGUCUCCAAUUUUAUUCUAGUCGACAGGGGAGAGGGUCAAGAAGUAGAAAACGUUUCUGAACUAUUCUAAAAGGGAUGGUACAGAAUCCAGUUCAAAGACAAGUGAGAUUGAUGGCUGAAGGUGUCUAUUAGAGGAAGAGACCAUGAAGGACCAAGAAAGGCUUCUUGCCAGAAAUUGGGUAUACACUGGAGGGAGAGAUUUAGGGUGUUGGAGGGGAGAUGGAAAGGAUGUGGGAGUGGGGAAAUAAACUGAGCGAAGGCAUAGACCAGGUAGGAGGGAAAGCCUGGGCCAAGGAAAUCUAUCUGUUGAUGAUGGACCAUCGCACGCAGGCCCAGCCCACGAGCCUAGGUAUCAAUCAAGUUAAGUAAGAAUUCAACGUGAUUUUUGAAUCCCUGUAAGGAGGAAGGUUCCAUGGCCUCUAGGCAGGAAUGAGUGCUUCUCAUAGGACUGCAGUCUUCUCCAAAGCACAGGAGCACUUUCUCCUAGGCUCACAGCACCCUAAUUCCCAGGGAACAUCUAAGAUGGUCUCCUUCUUGCCACACUGUACCUGAGCUUGCCCCUGCUGGCCAAGGCUGAGUGGGGUAGGAUGAGCACAGGGCCAGCCUGGGCUAACUUGACCUGUGGUUAUUCUCCAGGUGGUGCUAGUGUUCCUAGGAGUUCUGUGGCUCUGAGUCGCUGAAGAUGAAAGUUGGUAUCUUGGCCAGACAAGUGGUCUUCCUGUCUUGGUGCAGUCUUCCUCUGGGUCUCCUAGAGUUUCUCCAGGAAAUAGUAACCCCUGUGCAUAGGCUAGGAACUCUGACUUGCUUCUUGAGUGUGUUUCUGUCUGUAUUUUAUGAACAGCACAAGCAGCAGCAGCCACAGGCAAGAGCGUCUCAAGUGUGCUGAAGAAGCCAAGUGUGCCUUAGG